rnacentral:rRNA from 1 species
GACAGCAGCCGCCACGGUAAUACAGAGGGUGCGAGCGUUAAUCGGAUUUACUGGGCGUAAAGCGUGCGUAGGCGGCUUUUUAAGUCGGAUGUGAAAUCCCUGAGCUUAACUUAGGAAUUGCAUUCGAUACUGGGAAGCUAGAGUAUGGGAGAGGAUGGUAGAAUUCCAGGUGUAGCGGUGAAAUGCGUAGAGAUCUGGAGGAAUACCGAUGGCGAAGGCAGCCAUCUGGCCUAAUACUGACGCUGAGGUACGAAAGCAUGGGGAGCAAACAGGAUUAGAUACCCGGGUAGUCCCUGUCUCUUAUAC